rnacentral:lncRNA from 1 species
CAAUCGAUAUCGGAUUGAGUCCAAAACCUGGGGAAUAUCAUAAUAUUGUGGGAGGAGUCAUUUGGUGGGUUUUGAGUGAAAUCCAAUCUCUAGAACUAUACAAUACACCAACCACUCCAUUUCCGAACGAACUUCGUACGAACCUGAAUUGUCCGAUUUAAAGCACCAAUCGAUAUCGGAUUGAGUCCAAAACUUGGGGGACAACAUAAUAUUGUGGGAGGAGUCAUUUGGUGGGUUUUGAGUGAAAUCCAAUCCCUACAACUAUACAAUACACCAACCACUCCAUUUCGGAACGACCUUCGUACAAACUUGAAUUGUCCGAUUUCAUUGACCAAUCGAUAUCGGAUUGAGUCCAAAACUCGGGGAACAUCAUAAUAUUGUGGGAGUUGUCAUUUGGUGCCUUUUGGGUAAAAUCCAAUCUCCAGAACUAUACAAUACACCAACCAACCCAUUUCCAGAACGAACUUCAUACGAACUUGAAUUGUCCGAUAUCAAGGACCAAUCGAUAUCGGAUUGAGUCCAAAACUUGGGGAACAUCAUAAUAUUGUGGGAGGAGUCAUUUGGUGGGUUUUGAGUGAAAUCCAAUCUCUCGAACUAUACAAUACACCAACUACCGCAUUUCCGAACGAACUUCGUACGAAACUGAAUUGUCCGAUUUCAAGCUCCAAUCGAUAUCGGAUUGAGUCCAAAACUUGGGGAACAUCAUAAUAUUGUGGGAGGAGUCAUCUGGUGGGUUUUGAGUGAAAUCCAAUCCCUAGAACUAUACAAUACACCAACCACUCCAUUUUAGAACGAACUUCGUACGAACCUGAAUUGUCCGAUUACAAGGGCCAAUCGAUAUCGGAUUGAGGCCAAAACUUCGGAAACAACAUAAUAUUGUGGGAGGAGUCAUUUGGUGGAUUUUGAGUGAAAUCCAAUCUCUAGAACUAUACAAUACACCAACCACCCCAUGUCACAUGCCGGGAUCAACUCCACCGUAGCACGAUAUUUUCCGCUUUGGGCCCCCCCUCUGCCCGUACGAUUUUGUUUCUGGGAGCUCACGAGUAACUUCCCAGUGGGUCACCCAUCCUGGGAUUGCUCUGGCACUCAACUCGCUUAACUUCGGAGUUCCUACGACUCCGAAGCCAGUGAGCUCCCAAAAGGCCUCGUGCUAGAUGGAUGUGGGUGUGCACAUAUAAGGCACAUCACCCCCUCUCCGUUUGGUUGAUGUGGGAUCUUACAAUCCACCCCCCUUAAGGGCCCGACGUCCUCGUCGGCACACUCGCAGCACACGGCAGAGUGGCUCUGAUACCAAAUUGUCACACCCGGGAUCGGCUCCCCCGUAGCACAAUAUUGUCCGCUUUGGGCCCCCCUCACUGCCCUCACGGUUUUGUUUCUGGGAACUCUUGAGUAACUUCCCAGUGGGUCACCCAUCUUGGGAUUGCUCUAGCCCCCAACUCGCUUAACUUCGGAGUUCCUACGACUCCGAAGCCAGUGAGCUCCCAAAAAGCCUCGUGCUAGAUGGAUGCGAGUGUGCACAUAUAAGGCACAUCACCCCCUCUCCGUUGGUUGAUGUGGGAUCUUACAAUCCACCCCCCUUAAGGGCCCGACGUCCUCGUCGGCACACUCUCACCACACGGCAGAGUGGCUCUGAUACCAAAUUGUCACACCCCUGGAUCGGCUCCGCCGUAGCACGAUAUUGUCCGCUUUGGGCCCCCCUCACUGCCCUCACGGUUUUGUUUCUGGGAACUCACGAGCAACUUCCCAGUGGGUCACCCAUCCUGGGAUUGGUCUAGCCCCCAACUCGCUUAACUUCGGAGUUCCUACGACUCCGAAGCCAAUGAGCUCCCAAAAGGCCUCGUGCUAGAUGGAUGCACAUAUAAGGCACAUCACCCCUUCUCCGUUGGUUGAUGUGAGAUCUUCCAAUCCACCCCCUUAAGGACCCGACAUCCUCGUCGGCACACUCGCACCACACGGCAGAGUGGCUCUGAUACCAAAUUGUCACAUCCAGGGAUCGGCUCCGCCGUAGCACGAUAUUGUCCGCUUUGGGCCCCCCUCUCUGCCCUUACGGUUUUGUUUCUAGGAACUCACGAGCAACUUCCCAGUGGGUCACUCAUCCUGGGAUUGCUCUAGCCCCUAACUCGCUUAACUUCGGAGUUCCUACGACUCCGAAGCCGGUGAGCUCCCAAAAGGCCUCGUGCUAGAUGGAUGCGGGUGUGCACAUAUAAGGCACAUCACCCCCUCUCCGUUGGUUGAUGUGGGAUCUUACACCCCAUUUAUGAACGAACUUCGUACGAACCUGAAUUUUCCGAUUUCAAGGACCAAUCGAUAUUGGAUUGAGUCCAAAACUUGGGUAACAUCAUAAUAUUAUGGGAGGAGUCAUUUGGUGGGCUUUGAGUGAAAUCCAAUCCCUAGAACUUACAAUACACCAACCACUCCAUUUCAUGACGAACUUCGUAUGAACAUGGAUUGUCCGAUUUCAUGGACCAGUCGAUAUCGGAUUGAGUCCAAAACUUGGGAAACGUUGUAAUAUUGAGGGAGGAGUGAUUUGUUGCAUUUUGAGUGAAAUCCAAUCCCCAGAACUAUACAAUACACCAACCACUCCAUUUAAGAACGAACUUCGUACGAACCUGAAUUGUCAGAUUUCGAGGACCAAUCGAUAUCGUAUUGAGUCCAAAACUUGGGGAACAUGAUAGUAUUGUGGGAGGAGUCAUUUGGUGGGUUUUGAGUGAAAUCCAAUCCCUAGAACUAUACAAUACAUUAGCCAUUCCAUUUCAAAACGAACUUCGUACAAACCUGAAUUGUCAAAUUUCGUGGACCAAUCGAUAUCGGAUUGAGUCCAAAACUUGGGGAACAUCAUAAUAUUGUGGGAGGAGUCAUUUGGUGGCUUUUGAGUGAAAUCCAAUCUCUAGAACUAUACAAUACACCAACUACCCCAUUUCAGAACGAACUUCGUUGGAACCUGAAUAGUCCGAUUUCAAGGACCAGUCGAUAUCGGAUUGAGUCCAAAACUUGGGGAACAUCAUAAUAUUGUGGGAGGAGUCAUUUGGUGGCUUUUGAGUGAAAUCCAAUCUUUAGAACUAUACAAUACACCAACCACCCCAUUUCAGAACGAACUUCGUACGAACCUGAAUUGUCCAAUUUCAAGGACCAACAGAUAUCGGAUUGAGUCCGAAACUUGGGGAACAUCAUAAUAUUGGGGAGUUGUCAUUUGGUGGGUUUUGAGUGAAAUCCAAUCCCUAGAACUAUACAAUACACCAAAAACUUCAUUUCAGAAAAAACUUGUUGAGCCUAUUGUUAACAACUAAAAUGAGUUAUUAAAAACAGCAACUUUAAUUCUCGCAAGUGCACGAACCGUUUAUAGUAUAGCUUAUGUAAAUACGAGGUCGAUCCCACGGAGAAUGGUAACUUGGUUCCAAGUUAAAUUACUUAGAAUGUUAGAAAAAUAUAGAACAAAGAAACUGACUAACUAGCUAAAGGCAUGGUCGAAUUCAACAAUGCCUCUUGCUAAUUACUCAAGGUCUAGGACAGAAUCCUAGCACCACACACGCACUCGAAAUGGGGGGUUUUUUUGUUGAAAUGAAAACAAGAAAGUGAAAUGAAAGUGCUCGAAAGUGAACACUGGCAGCAAUCAACAAGUUGUGAAACAAUGAUUGAGAGGUGUUAGAGCCUUGGAAUCCACCACUAGUUUUCCUAUCCAAGUUAUGAAUGCAUAGAAAUUGACUCAAGCUUCAUUAGCAAUAGAUUAUCGCAUACAAGCCUAUGGUAUCUAGGUGCAGGAUGCAUGAUUCUCCUAAGGCAUGUGAUUAUGCAUGGUAUCUACACAACACGUGAUCUCUAAUAUGCAACCUAAGCAUGGUAUCUACUUAGAAUAAAGCAUACAAGAGUCAUUAAGCUCCUUGAGAAUAUGAUAAUCACACAAGUCCUAGAACAUGGUAUCUGUCCUAGUCAACCUAUGGUUAUUAACCCCUUGAAUGAUUCUUAGGCCAUUCAUGUGUUGCUUGUGAAAGGAGAGUAGAAUUGGUGAAUCUAAACCCCUUCCCAACCUGUGCUAGAUGCAUAAAAUCCUAGUUAGCUACUCCAAGAGAACAUACAUCAAGCACAUAAUAAACUAGAGAUUAACAACUUAAUAAUAAAAGCAAGGAAAUCAAUUAACUAUAAAAUCAUCCAUAACAUUGAAUAUUCAUGACUAGGGCUUCACCCUAAGCCCUAACUAAAUGGAUUAGUUAGACAUAACUAUGAAUACAGAAAAUAAGAAAUACAUAGAUAGGAUAAAGAGACGAGAAGAACUAGAUGAUGGGAGCAAGGAAGUUCCCAGGACAGCUCCAAGCUCCCUUCUCUCUUUGUGGUGAAUCUGAAUGUGUAUAUGAAAGUAAUGGAUGAAAUGAAUGUGUGUGUCUGCCCUCUCUCCCCUUGAAAGAGUGUGCAACUCUCUAUUUAUAGAGUGCAAUUUCGUGCUCCCCUUUGGCUGGUGAAGCACACCUCUCUUAGCUGCUGCCAACUGCUCUAGCUGCCCAUACAUGCCUGUUGCUCCAGCUGCCCAUACUUGCCUGUUGCUCCAGCUGCCCAUACUUGCCUGUUGGACUUUUCUUGGUUUUUGAGUUCCCAUACUGAUUUGUCUCCCAUGUGUGGCUGCUCUAAUGUGUAGCACAUGGCUCUAGGGAUGUAGCCACAUUAAAUAUGAUGGCAGCCAACAUGACAUUUCUGCGAACUUGGUUCAGUCUUUGACGUGUUGAGGGCUCCAGUUGUAUCCAAUUGGGCUGAACUUUGGAUAUGUUAUAAUAGACGCCCAUUGGAACAACGUCUAUGAAGGAUGUCUCCUCAUCUGACCUGUGUAAGUUACUGAAAUGAGGCCUGCAAGAUGACCUACGAAACUGGACUGACAAGGAGUGUGGCACAAAUUGGUUUUGUCUUUAAGCUCAUAUUCCACUUGUGCCACUCAGCCCUUAACAUGCAUGAAUUGUAUCAAAUGUCAUCCCCUUGCUAUAUUAACCUACAAAGCACACAAACAUAGGUAAGAGACUCAAAAUAAAGAGAAGCUAACAAAAUUACUAAGGAAAGAAGGCAUGCAAAUGUGUGAAAUUAUGAACUUAUCAAAUACCCCAAAACUUAGAUUUUGCUAGUCCUCGAGCAAAACAAAAUAAAACUACAACUUAGGAAACAGGAAAUAAGCAACUAGCCUUCCAAACAAUAUCCUCAAAGAAUCAUCAGUGUAAAUGGUUCCAAAGAAACACAACAAUCACAAUCUAAGUUCCACACAUGAUUCACGAGAAAGCAAAGCUAGCAUUGACACCCUUAAGUGUAGUGUGUGAAUGCCAAAUCCGAACAACACCUGCAUCUCAAAUAAGUACAUGUGCACACACUUAGAGCAAAAUCAAGAAUUCCGAACCCCAUAAGCUCAUUAUCCAAUCUGCUCUCCACAGUAAUACCAUGCAACACCAAGGAUCAAAAGGACUUUACAAGGGUAGUAAUGAGGUUUAGGGUAGUGGUUGAAUGAAAGAAGGGAUAUGAGAUAUACAAUAUUUUGAGCACACUUAAAGCACAGGUAAGAGCAUAAGAGAGUACUGAACUUUGUAACAAGCAAGGAACACAUACAUGAGCAGAUUUUCAACAUAAUUUCAGCACCUUGAAAUGUGUUUAUUUGGCCUAAUUUUGUGGCUCUUUACCCUAGAUCACAAUGAUGUUCUCCUUAUAACACCCUAGGGCCGUGACUACAUUGGUCACACUUCAUUACCUCUUUUGAUUAGUUACCAAUACCCCCAAACUUAUUUCUUUUCAACACUUGGGUUACGGCACCAAUUAUUCACUUUUGCUCUAUAAACCUUGCAUUCUUUAUAACUCUCUUUUGAAGAUAACUUUAAUUGCUCAUACAAUAAGUAAGGAUAAGAAAACAGAGGCUCAUUAUGGUAGGAUUCAUUUACACAAAGAAAGGCUUAACGUAGGCUCAAAUGGGAUGACUAGGGAUGAAUACAUGUAGAGGGAUGGUUAGAAAGGCUCAAACGGUUCAAACAUGGCCUAAAUCACUUCCUAAGCAUUGUAUGGCAACAAAAUGUCUCAAGAAAUAUUCAAAUAAGUUCUAGAGUACGAAACCAAGAUCAUGAGAUAACUAGAAUUGCAUAACGUCUCUAAGUAGCAAGAUGUUGGACUAACUUGGCAAAGUGCUCAAUAAGUGCAAGGAUGGCAUGCAGGACAAAGUUAACUUAGAAUCACACGCAGACCUUAAACAAUGACUAUCAAUUUCUGAAAAACCAUAAUAGUAUUAAAUCUAAGUCUUUAUCAUAGGUGUUUGGAAGGAUAACGAAACAACACACAAAAUCCUGCGUUUUUAGACAGUAGACACACUCAAAAAUUUUAAAAUUUGACAAUUUGAAACAGCAUAACUAAAUCCUUCCCCCCAAACUUAAAUGAAACAUUGUCCUCAAUGUUUAGAGUGUAAGAAAAAGCAAUGCCUCAUUAAUGAAAGGAAAGAAGACAAGGGAAAGACAUAACCAAAGGUUAGAUUUCAGAAAAACUCCCCUUUGAAGCGAUUAGGAUGCAAGCAAGCUUCCUCGCAUAUUCUAUCUUCUCCUCAUCACCUUGGGUUGCCUCCCAAGAAGCGCUAAGUUUCACGUCGUCAGCCGGACGUCCAAACUCUGGUGAGCUUUAAGAGAGUGGUGGAGGCUCCUUGAGUGCUUGAGACUCAAUAUUGGCAUCAAAGUUGGCAUCGAAGUAAGGUUUCAACCGAUGUCCAUUCACCUUGAAGGUGCUGCCAUCCUUAAUGUUUUGAAUCUCCACUGCGCCAUGAUUAAACACAUUAGUAAUAACAAAAGGGCCAAUCCACCGAGAACAAAGCUUACCUGGGAAGAGCUUAAGGCGUGAAUUGAAUAAGAGAACCUUCUGCCCUUUCUCAAACGUCUUCCUAAGAAUUUUCUUGUCGUGAUAUUGCUUUGUUUUCUCCUUGUAAAGCUUCGCAUUCUUAUACGCUUCAUGUCUCAACUCCUCCAGCUCAUUGAGUUGAAGCCUCCUCUUCUCACCAGCGGCUUUCAUAUCAAAAUUGAAGGCCUUGAUUGCCCAAUAAGCCCUGUGCUCAAGCUCCACUGGUAAGUGACAAGGUUUACCGAAAAUAAGUCUAUACGGAGACAUACCUAUAGGGGUCUUAUAAGCAGUCCUAUAAGCCCACAAUGCAUCAUCCAAACGCAUGGACCAAUCCUUCCUUGUGGUGUUCACUGUCUUUUCAAGUAUGUACUUAAUCUCCCUAUUGCUUAUAUCAACCUGCCCACUAGUUUGAGGAUGAUAGGGUGUUGCCACCUUAUGCGUGAUUCCAUAUCUCUUCAAGAGUGCUGCAAAAGCUUGGUUAACAAAGUGGGAGCCACCAUCACUAAUGAUUGCUCUAGGUGUGCCAAACCUUGUAAAAAUAUUUCCUUUGAGAAAACCGAUCACAACUUUAGCAUCAUUAGUUCUAGUGGCAAUGGCUUCCACCCAUUUAGAAACAUAAUCGACAGAAACUAAUAUAUAUUCAAAUCCAUAAGAGGUAGGAAAAGGGCCCAUGAAAUCAAUUCCCCAAACAUCAAAUAUAUCAAUGAUUAAGAUAUUGGUGAGAGGCAUCUGGUUUCUAGCAUGUAAAUUACCCAUCCGUUGGCAUCUAUCACAUGAAGCACAAAAAACAUAAGCAUCCUUAAAAAGGGUAGGCCAAAAGAAACCUGAUUGUAGCACCUUGCUGGCAGUCUUCUUUGCUCCAAAAUGGCCUCCGCAUGCGUGGGAGUGACAAAACUCCAGAAUGCUCUUAAAAUCACCUUCAGGCACACACCUUCGAAUUACUUGGUCUGGACAAUGCUUGAAUAGAUAGGGAUCAUCCCAAAAGUAGUAUCUUGCUUGCUUCCUAAGCUUGUCACGUUGGAACGUAGAUAACCCUGUAGGGAGUUCGUUAGUGCACAAAUAGUUAACAAUAUCAGCAAACCAAGGCAAUGGAUUGAGAGAAUUCAAAGCACAAAUGGAGAAGAGUUGCUCAUCAGGGAAGCUUUCACGCAAUGGCAAUGAAUCCUCCUCUUCGUUAGAUACAUGCACCAAUCUACUCAAGUGAUCAGCCACGACAUUCUCACUUCCUUUCUUAUCUUUUAUCUCCAAGUCAAACUCUUGCAACAAGAGAAUCCAUCUAAUGAGUCGCGGUUUGGCAUCCUUCUUAGCUAACAAGUAUUUCAAUGCUGCAUGAUCAGUGUAAACAAUAACCUUGUUAGUAAUCAAAUAUGAUCUAAACUUCUCUAAAGCAAAUAUGACGGCUAACAACUCCUUCUCUGUGGUGGAAUAGUUGAGUUGGGCAUCGUUGAGGGUUCUACUAGCAUAGUAGAUGGCAUGUGGCUUCUUAUCAACUCGCUGUCCCAAAACAGCUCCAACAACAUAAUCUGAGGCAUCACACAUCAAUUCAAAGGGCAAGCUCCAAUCCGGUGGUAUAAUGACUGGGGCAGUUGUGAGCAUCUUCUUCAAAGCAUUGAAAGCAUUCUCACAGUCUUGAUCAAACACAAAAUCCAUGUCCUUGGCAAGGAGAUUGCACAUAGGCCUUGCAAUCUUAGAAAAAUCCUUAAUGAAACGCCUAUAGAAACCUGCAUGGCCAAGGAAAGAACGUACUUCUUUGACAGAAGUAGGUGAGGGCAUAGAGGCAAUCAAAUCAAUCUUAGCUUUAUCUACCUCAAUUCCUUUACUAGAGAUGACAUGACCAAGAACUAUGCCUUGGUUAACAAUAAAAUGACAUUUUUCCCAAUUAAGCACAAGGUUAGUAUGUUCACAUCUAGCCAACACCUUGGAUAAGUUAUGCAAGCAUUGAUCAAAAGAAUCACCAAAGACAGAGAAGUCAUCCAUGAAUACCUCAAUGAACCUUUCUACCAUGUCGGAGAAAAUGCUCAUCAUGCACCUUUGAAAAGUGGCUGGGGCGUUACAGAGACCAAAAGGCAUCCUCCUAUAGGCGAAAGUGCCAAAGGGACAUGUGAACGUGGUCGAUCCGCAGGCCGUGCAGCUAUGGCGAUUUGGUUGUAGCCUGAAUAUCCAUCAAGGAAGCAAUAGUGGCUAUGCCCAGCUAAUCUCUCAAGCAUUUGAUCAAUGAAUGGAAGAGGAAAGUGAUCUUUGCUUGUUGCUGUGUUGAGCUUCCUAUAAUCAAUGCAAACUCUCCAGCCCGUGGUCAUCCGUGUAGGUACAAGCUCGUUUGCUUCAUUCUUCACCACUGUGAUACCUGACUUCUUGGGGACAACUUGCACUGGGCUCACCCAUUGACUGUCAGAAAUAGGGUAAAUAAUACCAACAUUUAAAAGCUUCAUUACCUCUUUUCUUACCACCUCCUUCAUGUUUGGAUUGAGACGUCUUUGGGCAUCCCUCUUAGGCAUUGCAUUGUCUUCCAAUAAUAUCUUGUGCAUGCACAGUGUUGGGCUUAUGCCUUUGAUAUUUGCAAUGCUCCACCCAAUCGCAGUUUUGUGCUCUUUUAGAACUCUCAAAAGCUUCUUUUCAUCAUUUGGUCCGAGAUGUGAGGCAAUGAUAACAGGUAGAGUCUCAUUUUCACCUAAAUAAGCAUAUUUAAGGUGUUUUGGCAAUUGCUUUAAUUCCAACUCUGGUGCCUGCACAAUAGAAGGUAAAACCUUAUUAGUAGGUGGGGGUAAUGAUUCAAAUUGGUUUGCAUACCUCUUUCCAAUUUCUAUGUAGCUAUCCAUGCUGCAAACAAGCUCAAGAAGUAAAAAGAUCACAGCCUCAAAGCUGUCCACUUCUUCUUUCCUUAUGCUUUGUGUGAUGCAUGCUUCAAUGGGCUCCAAAUAACUCAUUGGCAGUGCUUCUUUCACCAUAGUAUCAAUUGCAUCAAGAUGGAAAACUUCAUGCUCAUCACUUGGAAACUUGGAGGCUUCAAACACUUUGAAUGCUAUUGUCUCAUCAAACACAUUCAUGGUCAAUGUACCCUUCUUCACAUCAAUAAUAGCACCGGCAGUUGCCAUGAAUGGCCGACCUAGAAUGAGUGGUAACUGAUUGUCAUGAAUUGGUGCUUCUUCCAUCUCCAACACCAAGAAAUCUGCUGGCAAAAUUAGCUCUUCCACUUUCACCAAAACAUCUUCUAGAAUGCCCUUAGGGUACCUAAUAGUUCUAUCUGCCAAUUGAAUGCUCACAGAUGUGGCUUGCAACUCACCAAGGUUAAGUUUCUCAUAAACAUGAUAUGGCAUAAGAUUUAUAGAAGCACCAAGAUCAAGCAAAGCUUUUUGAAACUUAAAAUCACCAACUAUGCAAGGUAUAGAAAACGAACCUGGAUCCUUUAGCUUUGGAGGCAGGUUUCUUUGUAACACUGCACUUACCUCUUCACUCAAUGCAACUUGUUCAUGCUCUUUGAAUCUCCUCUUGUUAGUGCAUAGAUCCUUCAAAAAAUUUGCAUACUUUGGAAUCUGAGUAAUGGCAUUGAGCAAUGGGAUGUUGAUUUGCACCUUCUUGAAUGUUUCCAUUAUCUCAUCCAAGCCUUGAUCUUUCUUUGACUUUGAUAACCUGCUGGGAAAGGGUGCAAUAGGCCUAAAAGCAUUAGUUGAAAUUGGAACUUGAUUAGCAUUAGAUGAUACCUUAGGGCCUGUGCUCUUUCCAGGAGCAUUGAUGGACUGAUUGUUGGAAGCUGUGGGCUGCCCAUGUGGUGGCUGAAUGAUCUCCACGUUUUCUCCAUCUUCUUGUUCUUCAUUGGCAUCUCCAACCUUAUUAUCAACUUGUUUACCACUUCUCAAGAUGUGUACUGCUUUAGCAUGCUCUUGAUGCCUUGGAUUCACCUCCGUUUGGCUUGGGAAAGUUCCGGAUGCUCUAUUGCUCAUGGAGGAUGCAAUCUGCCCAACUUGCACUUCUAGUUUGUUCACUGCAUUUUGAAGAUUCUGAUUGGUUUGCAUCUGUUGCCCCAUGAACUUCUUGAACAUGUCUUGCAAUUCUCCCAUUUGAUCACCCCUUUGCUCUUGCACUUGUUGCGGAGCUUGUUGGAAUUGCCUUUGUUGUGUUUGGAAUCCUGGGGGAGGUCCUUGAGAUUGUUGCACAUUUGAAUUGUUGCUCCACCUGAAAUUAGGAUGAUUUCUCCACCCCGGAUUGUAUGUGUUUGAGUAAGGAUCAUUAUUAGGAUUCCUUGCUUGAAGGGAAUUUGCUUGUUCUAGCAUGUGCUCCGCAAAAGAUUGGUCUACAAACUUCCACUUUGUUUCCUAGAGGGCCAGUCACUGCCUGUUGAAGCAAAGAACACAUAACAUCAAGUUUUGCAGCAAUUUCAUUAUUAGUACUUACCUCAGAGACCACAGCUUUCAUAGGAGCUCCUCUUCCUUUAUUGUGGCUCCAUUGUUGAGAGUUAGCACUCAAGGAUUCAAAGAGAGUAAAAGCCUCAUCUGCUGUUUUGUUCAUCAGUCCUUCUCCACUUGUUGAAUCUACCAUCAUCCUUUCGGAAUCAAGUAAACCUUCAUAGAAAGAUUGCAUUUGCAUCCAACUCUCUAUGUUGUGGUGUGGGCAAGAACUUAUCAUCUCCUUGUACCUCUCCCAACAUUCAUGAAAAGCUUCUCCUUCCUUUUGUGUGAAACCAAGAAUUUCCUUUCUAAUCUUGUUAGUCUUUUGAGCCGGAAAAAAUUUCUGCAAAAACUUAUUAGAAAGCUCUUCCCAAGUAUGAAUUGAAGCAUUAGGAAAAGAGUAUAACCAAGACUUAGCUUUAUCUUUUAAACUGAAUGGGAAUAGCCUCAUCUUAAUCUGCUCAUCAUCAAGGUUUUGAAUUUUGAUCGUAGCACAUAUUUCAAAGAAUUGCUUAAUAUGCAUGUAAGGAUCCUCAGUGGUAUUACCAUAAUAAGUUGGAAGAAGAUGAAUCAUACCACUUUUAAGCUCAAACCUGUCAACUGUGAGUUGAGGAUAGACGAUGCAUAAAGGUUGAUCGGUGACUUUGGGAAUGGAAAACUCACGCAGGGAUUUUCUUGGUUGGACAACAAGCACACCACCUCCUUCAUCAUUGUUGUUGUUCGAAAUCUCUACCAUGUUGCUUGAACCUUCAGAUUCGUAACUUUUAGAUUCAACGCUUGAAGAACUAUAGUUCUUCCUCAAACCAGCAUGCACAGCAGCGGUUCUUGGUGAAAGUGGCUCAGGUGAACUUUGCUCCUGGUCAGAUUCGGACAUGCACACACCAAGGAAGUCAAUUCAGUGCCUUCAAUGGAGAUAACAACAAAAUACAAAACUGAAUACUAAAAGAAAAACCAACGAAAAGAAACAAAUGAAAUAAACAAAAACAAAACAAUCAAAGUAAUCUAACUAUAGCACCAUCAUUACCGGUUCCCCGGCAACGGCGCCAAAAACUUGUUGAGCCUAUUGUUAACAACUAAAAUGAGUUAUUAAAAACAGCAACUUUAAUUCUCGCAAGUGCACGAACCGUUUAUAGUAUAGCUUAUGUAAAUACGAGGUCGAUCCCACGGAGAGUGGUAACUUGGUUCCAAGUUAAAUUACUUAGAAUGUUAGAAAAAUAUAGAACAAAGAAACUGACUAACUAGCUAAAGGCAUGGUCGAAUUCAACAAUGCCUCUUGCUAAUUACUCAAGGUCUAGGACAGAAUCCUAGCACCACACACGCACUCGAAAUGGGGGGUUUUGUUGUUGAAAUGAAAACAAGGAAGUGAAAUGAAAGUGCUCGAAAGUGAACACUGGUAGCAAUCAACAAGUUGUGAAACAAUGAUUGAGAGGUGUUAGAGCCUUGGAAUCCACCACUAGUUUUCCUAUCCAAGUUAUGAAUGCAUAGAAAUUGACUCAAGCUUCAUUAGCAAUAGAUUAUCGCAUACAAGCCUAUGGUAUCUAGGUGCAGGAUGCAUGAUUCUCCUAAGGCAUGUGAUUAUGCAUGGUAUCUACACAACACGUGAUCUCUAAUAUGCAACCUAAGCAUGGUAUCUACUUAGAAUAAAGCAUACAAGAGUCAUUAAGCUCCUUGAGAAUAUGAUAAUCACACAAGUCCUAGAACAUGGUAUCUGUCCUAGUCAACCUAUGGUUAUUAACCCCUUGAAUGAUUCUUAGGCCAUUCAUGUGUUGCUUGUGAAAGGAGAGUAGAAUAGGUGAAUCUAAACCCCUUCCCAACCUAUGCUAGAUGCAUAAAAUCCUAGUUAGCUACUCCAAGAGAACAUACAUCAAGCACAUAAUAAACUAGAGAUUAACAACUUGAUAAUAAAAGCAAGGAAAUCAAUUAACUAUAAAAUCAUCCAUAACAUUGAAUAUUCAUGACUAGGGCUUCAUCCUAAGCCCUAACUAAAUGGAUUAGUUAGACAUAACUAUGAAUACAGAAAAUAAGAAAUACAUAGAUAGGAUAAAGAGACGAGAAGAACUAGAUGAUGGGAGCAAGGAAGUUCCCAGGACAGCUCCAAGCUCCCUUCUCUCUUUGUGGUGAAUCUGAAUGUGUGUAUGAAAGUAAUGGAUGAAAUGAAUGUGUGUGUCUGCCCUCUCUCCCCUUGAAUGAGUGUGCAACUCUCUAUUUAUAGAGUGCAAUUUCGUGCUCCCCUUUGGCUGGUGAAGCACACCUCUCUUAGCUGCUGCCAACUGCUCUAGCUGCCCAUACAUGCCUGUUGCUCCAGCUGCCCAUACUUGCCUGUUGGACUUUUCUUGGUUUUUGAGUUCCCAUACUGAUUUGUCUCCCAUGUGUGGCUGCUCUAAUGUGUAGCACAUGGCUCUAGGGAUGUAGCCACAUUAAAUAUGAUGGCAGCCAACACGAUAUUUCUGUGAACUUGGUUCAGUCUUUGACGUGUUGAGGGCUCCAGUUUUAUCCAAUUGGGCUGAAAUUUGGAUAUGUUAUAAUAGACACCCAUUGGAACAACGUCUAUGAAGGAUGUCUCCUCAUCCGACCUGUGUAAGUUACUGAAAUGAGGCCUGCAAGAUGACCUACGAAACUGGACUGACAAGGAGUGUGGCACAAAUUGGUUUUGUCUUUAAGCUCAUAUUCCUCUUGUGCCACUCAGCCCUUAACAUGCAUGAAUUGUAUCAAAUGUCAUCCCCUUGCUAUCUUAACCUACAAAGCACACAAACAUAGGUAAGAGACUCAAAAUAAAGAGAAGCUAACAAAAUUACUAAGGAAAGAAGGCAUGCAAAUGUGUGAAAUUAUGAACUUAUCAAAUACCCCCAAACUUAGAUUUUGCUAGUCCUCGAGCAAAACAAAAUAAAACUACAACUUAGGAAACAGGAAAUAAGCAACUAGCCUUCCAAACAAUAUCCUCAAAGAAUCAUCAGUGUAAAUGGUUCGAAAGAAACACAACAAUCACAAUCUAAGUUCCACACAUGAUUCACGAGAAAGCAAAGCUAGCAUUGACACCCUUAAGUGUAGUGUGUGAAUGCCAAAUCCGAACAACACCUGCAUCUCAAAUAAGUACAUGUGCACACACUUAGAGCAAAAUCAAGAAUGCCGAACCCCAUAAGCUCAUUAUUCAAUCUGCUCUCCAUAGUAAUACCAUGCAACACCAAGGAUCAAAAGGAGUUUACAAGGGUAGUAAUGAGGUUUAGGGUAGUGGUUGAAUGAAAGAAGGGAUAUGAGAUAUACAAUAUUUUGAGCACACUUAAAGCACAGGUAAGAGCAUAAGAGAGUACUGAACUUUGUAACAAGCAAGGAACACAUACAUGAGCAGAUUUUCAACAUAAUUUCAGCACCUUGAAAUGUGUUUAUUUGGCCUAAUUUUGUGGCUCUUACCCUAGAUCACAUUGAAAUGUGNNNNNNNNNNNNNNNNNNNNNNNNNNNNNNNNNNNNNNNNNNNNNNNNNNNNNNNNNNNNNNNNNNNNNNNNNNNNNNNNNNNNNNNNNNNNNNNNNNNNNNNNNNNNNNCUCCUCGCUCAUUGCGACAGUAGUGUAUUUCAACACUUGGGUUACGGCACCAAUUAUUCACUUUUGCUCAAUAAACCUUGCAUUCUUUAUAACUCUCUUUUGAAGAUAACUUUAAUUGCUCAUACAAUAAGUAAGGAUAAGAAAACAGAGGCUCAUUAUGGUAGGAUUCGUUUACACAAAGAAAGGCUUAACAUAGGCUCAAAUGGGAUGACUAGGGAUGAAUACAUGUAGAGGGAUGGUUAGAAAGGCUCAAACGGUUCAAACAUGGCCUAAAUCACUUCCUAAGCAUUGUAUGGCAACAAAAUGUCUCAAGAAAUAUUCAAAUAAGUUCUAGAGUACGAAACCAAGAUCAUGAGAUAAGUCCGAUUUCAAGGACCAAUCGAUAUCAGAACGAACUUCGUUGGAACCUGAAUAGUCCGAUUUCAAGGACCAAUCGAUAUCGGAUUGAGUCCAAAACUUGGGGAACAUCAUAAUAUUGUGGGAGGAGUCAUUUGGUGGCUUUUGAGUGAAAUCCAAACUUUAGAACUAUACAAUACACCAACCACCCCAUUUCAGAACGAACUUCGUACGAACCUGAAUUGUCCGAUUUCAAGGACCAAUCGAUAUCGGAUUGAGUCCAAAACUUGGGGAACAUCAUAAUAUUGUGGGAGUUGUCAUUUGGUGGGUUUUGAGUGAAAUCCAAUCCCUAGAACUAUACAAUACACCAAAAACUUCAUUUCAGAACGAACUUCGUACGAACUUGAAUUGUCUGAUUUCAUGGACCAUUCGAUAUCAGAUUGAGUCCAAAACUUGGGGGACAUCAUAGUAUUGUGGGAGGAGUCAUUUGGUGGCUUUUGGGUGAAAUCCAAUCCAGACAACUAUAAAAUACACCGACCACUCCAUUUCAGAACGACCUUCAUACGAACUUGAACUGUCAGAUUUCAUUGACUAAUCGAUAUCGGAUUGAGUCCAAAACUUGGGGAACACCAUAAUAUUAUGGGAGGAGUCAUUUGGUGGGUUUUGAGUGAAAUCCAAUCUCUAGAACUAUACAAUACACCGACCACCCCAUUUCAGAACAAACUUCGUACGAACCUGAAUUGUCCGAUUUCAAGGACCAAUCGAUAUCGGAUUGAGUCCAAAACUUGGGGAACAUCAUAAUAUUGUGGGAGGAGUCAUUUGGUGGGUUUUGAGUGAAAUCCAAUCCCUAGAACUAUACAAUACACCAACCACCCCAUUUCAAAACGAACUUCGUACGAAACUGAAUUGUCUGAUUUCAUUGACCAAUUGAUCACAGAUUGAGUCCAAAACUUGGGGAACAUCAUAAUAUUGUGGGAGGAGUCAUUUGGUAAGUUUUCAGUGCAAUACAAUCCCUAGAACUAUACAAUACACCAACCACUCCAUUUCAGAACGAACUUCGUACAAACCUGAAUUGUCAAAUUUCGUGGACCACUCGAUAUCCGAUUGAGUCCGAAACUUGGGGAACAUCAUAAUAUUGUGGGAGGAGUCAUUUGGUGGGUUUGAGUGAAAUCCAAUCUCUAGAACUANNNNNNNNNNNNNNNNNNNNNNNNNNNNNNNNNNNNNNNNNNNNNNNNNNNNNNNNNNNNNNNNNNNNNNNNNNNNNNNNNNNNNNNNNNNNNNNNNNNNUGGGGAACAUCAUAAUAUUGUGGGAGGAGUCAUUUGGUGGGUUUCGAGUGAAAUCCAAUCUCUAGAACUAUACAACACACCAACCACCCCAUUACAGAACGAACUUAGUAGGAACCUGAUUUGUCCGAUUUCAAGGACCAAUAGAUAUAGGAUUGACUCCAAAACUUGGGGAACAUCAUAAUAUUGUGGGAGGAGUCAUUUGGUGUGUUUUUAGUGAAAUCCAUUCUCUAGAACUAUACAAUACACCAACCACCCCAUUUCAGAAGGAACUUCGUACGAGCCUGAAUUGUCCGAUUUCAAGGACAAAUCGAUAUCGGAUUGAGUCCAAAACUUGGGGAACAUCAUAAUAUUGUGGGAGGAGUCAUUUGGUGGGUUUUGAGUGAAAUUCAAUCUCUAGAAUGAUACAAUACACCAACCACCCCAUUUCAGAAUGAACUUCGUACGAAUCUGAAUUGUCAGAUUUCAAGGUCCAAUCGAUAUCGGAUUGAGUCCAAAAAUUGGGGAACAUCAUAAUAUUGUGGGAGUUGUCAUUUGGCGGGUUUUGAAUGAAAUCCAAUCCCUAGAACUAUCCAAUACACCAACCCCUCCACUUCAGAAGGAACUUCAUACGAACUUGAAUUGUCAAAUUUCGUAGACCAAUCGAUAUCGGAUUGUGUCCAAAACUUGGGGAACAUCAUAAUAUUGUGGGAGCCGUCAUUUGGUGGGUUUUGAGUGAAAUCCAAUCUUUAGAACUAUACAAUACACCAACCACUCCAUUUCAUAACGAACUUCGUACUAACCUGCAUUCUCAAAUUUCGUGGACUGAUCGAUAUCGGAUUGAGUCCAAAACUUGGGGAACAUUAUAAUAUUGUGGGAGGAGUCACUUGGUGGGUUUUGAGUGAAAUCCAAUCUCUAGAACUAUACAAUACACCAACCACCCCAUUUCAGAAUGAACUUCGUAGGAACCUGAAUUGUCCGAUUUGAAGGACCAAUCGACAUCGGAUUGAGUCCAAAACUUGGGGAACAUCAUAAUAUUGUGGGAGGAGUCAUUUGGUAAGUUUUGAGUGAAAUACAAUCCCUAGAACCAUACAAUACACCACCCACUACAUUUCAGAACGAACUUCGUACGAACUUGAAUUGUCAAAUUUCGUGGACCGAUCGAUAUCGGAUUGAGUCCAAAACUUGGGGAGCAUAAUAAUCUUGUGGGAGGAGUCAUUUGGGGGGUUUUGAGUGAAAUCCAUUCUCUAGAACCAUACAAUACACCAACCACCCCAUUUCAGAACGAACUUCGUACGAACCUGAAUUGUCCGAUUUGAAGGACCAAUCGAUAUCGGAUUGAGUCCAAAACUUGGGGAACAACAUAAUAUUGUGGGAGGAGUCAUUUGGUUCGUUUUGAUUGAAAUCCAAUCUCUAGAACUAUACAAUACACCAACCACCCCAUUUCAGAACGAACUUCGUAGGAACCUGAAUUGUCCGAUUUCACGGACCAAUCGAUAUCGGAUUGAGUCCAAAACUUGGGGAACAUCAUAAUAUUGUUGGAGGAGUCAUUUGGUGGGUUUUGAGUGAAAUCCAAUCUCUAGAAUUAUACAAUACACCAACCACCCCAUUUCAGAACGAACUUCGUACGAACCUGAANNNNNNNNNNNNNNNNNNNNNNNNNNNNNNNNNNNNNNNNNNNNNNNNNNNNNNNNNNNNNNNNNNNNNNNNNNNNNNNNNNNNNNNNNNNNNNNNNNNNNNNNNNNNNNNNNNNNNNNNNNNNNNNNNNNNNNNNNNNNNNNNNNNNNNNNNNNNNNNNNNNNNNNNNNNNNNNUAAGGACCAAUCGAUAUCGGAUCAGUCCAAAACUUGGGGAACAUCAUAAUAUUGUGGAGGGAGCCAUUUGGUAAUUUUUGAGUGAAAUACAUUCCCAAGAACUAUACAAUUCACCACCCAGUCAAUUUCAGAACGAAAUUGAUGGGAACUUGAAUAUUCAAAUUUCAUGGACCAAUUAAUAUCGGAUUGAUUCCAAAACUUGGGGAAAAUCAUAAUUUGUUGGGGGUAGUCAUUUGGGGGGUUUUGAGUGAAAUCCAUUCUCUGGAACUAUCCAAUACACCAACCACCCCAUUUCAGAAGGAAUUUGGUACGAACCUGAAUGUCCGAUUUGAAGGACCAAUCGAUAUCGGAUUGAGUCAAAAACUUGGGGAACACCAUAAUAUUGUGGGAGGAGUCAUUUGGUUCGUUUUGAGUGAAAUCCAAUCUCUAGAAUUAUACAAUACACCAACCACCCCAUUUCAGAAUGAACUUCGUAGGAACCUGAAUUGUCCGAUUUCAAGGAGCAAUCGAUAUCGGAUUGAGUCCAAAACUUGGGGAACAUCAUAAUCUUGUGGGACGAGUCAUUUGGUGGGUUCUGAGUGAAAUCCAAUCUUUAGAACUAUACAAUACACCAACCACCCCAUUUCAGAAUGAACUUCGUCGGAACCUGAAUUGUCCGAUUUUAAGGACCAAUCGAUAUCGGAUUGAGUCCAAAACUUGGGGAACAUCAUAAUAUUGUGGAAGGAACCAUUUGGUAAGUUUUGAGUGAAAUACAAUCCCCAGAACUAUACAAUUCACCACCCACUCAAUUUCAGAACGAACUUCGUGCGAACUUGAAUUGUCAAAUUUCGUGGACCGAUCGAUAUCGGAUUGAGUCCAAAACUUGGGGAGCAUCAUAAUCUUGUGGGAUUAGUCAUUUGGGGGGUUUUGAGUGAAAUCCAUUCUCUAGAACUAUACAAUACACCAACCACCCCAUUUCAGAACGAACUUCGUACGAACCUGAAUGUCCGAUUUGAAGGACCAAUCGAUAUCGGAUUGAGUCCAAAACUUGGGGAACACCAUAAUAUUGUGGGAGGAGUCAUUUGGUUCAUUUUGAGUGAAAUCCAAUCUCUAGAAUAUACAAUACACCAACCACCCCAUUUCAGAAUGAACUUCGUACGAACCUGAAUUGUCCAAUUUCAAGGACCAAUCGAUAUCGGAUGAGUACAAAAGUUGGGGAACGUCAUAAUAUUGUGGGAGGAGUCAUUUGGUGGGUUUUGAGUGAAAUACAAUCUCUAGACCUAUACAAUACACCAACCACCCCAUUUCAGAACGAACUUCGUACGAACCUGAAUUGUCCGAUUUCAAGGACCAAUCGAUAUCGGAUUGAGUCCAAAACUUGGGGAACAUCAGAAUAUUGUGGGAGCAGUCAUUUGGUGCGUUUUGAGUGAAAUCCAAUCUUUAGAACUAUACAAUACACCAACCACCUCAUUUCAGAACGAACUUCGUACGAACCUGAAUUGUCCAAUUUCAAGGACCAAUCGAUAUCGGACUGAGUACAAAGGUUGGGGAACGUCAUAAUAUUGUGGGAGGAGUCAUUUGGUGGGUUUUGAGUGAAAUCCAAUCUCUAGACCUAUACAAUACACCAACCUCCUCAUUUUAGAACGCACUUCGUACGAAUCUGAAUUGUCCGAUUUGAAGGACCAAUUGAUAUCGGAUUGAGUCCAAAACUUGUGGAACAUCAUAAUCUUGUGGGAGGAGUCAUUUGGUGGUUUUGAGUGAAAUCCAAUCUCUAGAACUAUACAAUACACCAACCACCCCAUUUCAGAAUGAACUUCGUAGGAACCUGAAUUGUCCGAUUUCAAGGACCAAUCGAUAUCGGAUUGAGUCCAAAACUUGGGGAACAUCAUAAUAUUGUGGGAGGAGUCAUUUGGUAAGUUUUGAGUGAAAUACAAUCCCCAGAACCAUACAAUUCACUGCCCAUUCCAUUUAGAACGAAUUAGUAAAAACGUGAAUUGUCAAAUUUUGUGGACCGAUGGAUUCGGAUUGAGUCCAAAACUUGGGGAGCAUCAUAAUCUUGUGGGAGGAGUCAUUUGGGGGGUUUUGAGUGAAAUCCAUUCUCUAGAACUAUACAAUACACCAACCACCCCAUUUCAGAACGAACUUCGUACGAACCUGAAUUGUCCGAUUUGAAGGACCAAUCGAUAUCGGAUUGAGUGCAAAACUUGGGGAACACCAUAAUAUUGUGGGGGGAGUCAUUUGGUUCGUUUUGAGUGAAAUCCAAUCUCUAGAAUUAUACAAUACACCAACCACCCCAUUUAAAAAUGAACUUCGUAGGAACCUGAAUUGUCCGAUUUCAAGGACCAAUCGAUAUCGGACUGAGUCUAAAGGUUGGGGAACAUCAUAAUAUUGUGGGAGGAGUCAUUUGUUGGUUUUGAGUGAUAUCCAAUCUCUAAAACUAUACAAUACACCAACCACCCCACUUAUGAACGAACUUCGUACGAACCUGAAUUGUCCGAUUUCAAGUACCAAUCGAUAUCGGAUUGAGUCUGAAACUUGGGGAACAUCAUAAUAUUGUGGGAGGAAUCAUUUGGUGGGUUUUGACUGAAAUCCAAUCUCUAGACCUAUACAAUACACCAACCUCCUCAUUUCAGAACGAACUUCGUACGAACUUGAAUUGUCCGAUUUCAAGGACCAAUUGAUAUCGGAUUGAGUCCAAAACUUGGGGAACAUCAUAAUCUUGUGGGAGGAGAAAUUUGGUGGUUUUGAGUGAAAUCCAAUCUCUAGAACUAUACAAUACACCAACGACUCCAUUUCAGAACGAACUUCGUACGAACCUGAAUUGUCCGAUUUCAUUGACCAGUCGAUAACGGAUUGAGUCCAAAAGAUGGGGAACAUCAUAAUAUUGUGGGAGGAGUCAUUUGGUAUGUUUUGAGUGAAAUACAAUCCCUAGAACUAUACAAUACACCAACCACUCCAUUUCAGAAUGAACUUCGUACGAACCUGAAUUGUCAAAUUUCGUGGACCGAUCGAUAUCGGAUUGAGUCCAAAACUUGGGGAACAUCAUAAUAUUGUGGGAGGAGUCAUUUGGUGCGUUUUGAGUGAAAUCCAACCUCUAGAGCUAUACAAUGCACCAAUCACCCCAUUUCAGAACGAACUUCGUACGAACAUGAAUUGUCCGAUUUCAAGGACCAAUCGAUAUCGGAUUGAGUCCAAAAGUUGGGAAACAUCAUAAUAUUGUGGGAGGAGUCAUUUGGUGGGUUUUGGGUGAAAUCCAAUCUCUAGACCUAUACAAUACACCAACCUCCUCAUUUCAGAACGAACUUCGUACGAACCUGAAUUGUCCGAUUUCAAGGACCAAUCUAUAUCGGACAGAGUCCAAAAGUUGGGGAACGUCAUAAUAUUGUGGGAGGAAUCAUUUGGUAAGUUUUGAGUGAAAUACAAUCCCCAGAACCAUACAAUACACCAACCACCCCAUUUCAGAACGAACUUUGUACGAACCUGAAUUCUCCGAUUUCAAGGACCAAUCGAUAUUGGAUUGAGUCCAAAACUUGGGGAGCAACAUAAUCUUGUGGGAGGAGUAAUUUGGUGGGUUUUUAGUGAAAUCCAAUCUCUAGAACUAUACAAUACACCACCCACCCCAUUUCAGAACGAACUUCGUACGGACCUGAAUUGUCCGAUUUCAAGGACCAAUCGAUAUCGGAUUGAGUCCAAAACUUGGGGAACAUUAUAAUAUUGUGGGAGGAGUCACUUGGUGGGUUUUGAGUGAAAUCCAAUCUCUAGAACUAUACAAUACCCCAACCACCCCAUUUCAGAACGAACUUCGUAGGAACCUGAAUUGUCCGAUUUCAUGGACCAAUCGAUAUCGGAUUGAGUCCAAAACUUGGGGAAUAUCAUAAUAUUGUGGGAGGAGUCAUUUGGUGGGUUUUGAGUGAAAUCCAAUCUCUAGAACUGUACAAUACACCAACCACCCCAUUUCAGAACUAACUGCGUACGAACCGAAUUGUCCGAUUUCUAGGACCAAUCGAUAUCGGAUUGAGUCCAAAACUUGGGGAAUAUCAUAAUAUUGUGGGAGGAAUCAUUUGGUGGGUUUUGAGUGAAAUCCAAUCUCUAGAACUGUACAAUACACCAACCACCCCAUUUCAGAACGAACUUCGUACGAACCCGAAUUGGCCGAUUUCAAGGACCAAUCGAUAUCGGAUUGAGUCCAAACCUUGGGAACAUCAUAAUAUUGUGGGAGGGGUCAUUUGGUGGGUUUUGAGUGGAAUCCAAUCUCUAGAACUGUACAAUACACCAACCACCCCAUUUCAGAACGAACUUCGUACGGACCCGAGUUGUCCGAGUUCAAGGACCAAUCGAUAUCGGGAUUGAGUCCAAACCUUGGGAACAUUAUAAUAUUAUGGGAGGAGUCAUUUGGUGGGUUUUGAGUGAAAUGCAAUCUCUAGAACUAUACAAUACCCCAACCACCCCAUUUCAGAACGAACUUCGUAAGAACCUGAAUUGUCCGAUUUCAUGGACCAAUCGAUAUCGGAUUGAGUCCAAAACUUGGGGAAGAUCAUAGUAUUGUGGGAGGAGUCAUUUGGUGGGUUUUGAGUGAAAUCGAAUCUCUAGAACUAUACAACACACCAACCUCCCCAUUUCAGAACGAACUUCGUACGAACCUGAAUUGUCCGAUUUCAGGGACCAAUCGAUAUCGGAUUGAGGGGGGGAACUUGGGGAACAUCAUAAUAUUGUGGGAGGAGUCAUUUGGUGGGUUUUGAGUGAAAUCCAAUCUCUAGAAUUAUACAAUACACCAACCACCCCAUUUCAGAAUGAACUUUGUAGGAACCUGAAUUGUCCGAUUUCAAGGACCAAUCGAUAUCGGACUGAGUCCAAAACUUGGGGGAACAUCAUAAUAUUGUGGGAGGAGUCAUUUGGAAUGUUUUGAGUGAAAUACAAUCCCUAGAACUAUACAAUACACCAACCACUCCAUUUCAGAACGAACUUCGUACGAACCUGAAUUGUCAACUUUCGUGGACCGAUCGAUAUCGGAUUGAGUCCAAAACUUGGGGAACAUCAUAAUAUUUUGGGAGGAGUCAUUUGGUACAUUUUGAGUGAAAUCCAACCUCUAGAACUAUACAAUGCACCAACCACCCCAUUUCAGAACGAAUUUCGUAGGAAACUGAAUUGUCCGAUUUUAAGGACCAAUUGAUAUCGGAUUGAGUCCAAAACUUGGGGAACUGUCGUGGGAGGAGUCAUUUGGUGGGUUUUGAGUGAAAUCCAAUCUCUAGAACUAUACAAUACACCAAUCACCCCAUUUCAGAACGAACUUCGUACGAAUAUGAAUUGUCCGAUUUCAAGGACCAAUCGAUAUCGGACAGAGUCCAAAAGUUGGGGAACGUCAUAAUAUCGUGGGAGGAGUCAUUUGGUGGGUUUUGAGUGAACUCCAAUCUCUAGACCUAUACAAUACACCAACCUCCUCAUUUCAGAACGAACUUCGUUCGAACAUGAAUUGUCCGAUUUCAAGGACCAAUUGAUAUCGGACUUAGUCCAAAACUUGGGGAACAUCAUAAUCUUGUGGGAGGAGUCAUUUGGUGGUUUUGAGUGAAAUCCAAUCCCUAGAACUAUACAAUACACCAACCACCCCAUUUCAGAAUGAACUUUCGUAGGAACCUGAAUUGUCCGAUUUCAAGGACCAAUCGAUAUCGGACUGAGUCCAAAAGUUGUGGAACAUAAUAAUAUUGUGGCAGGAGUCAUUUGGUGGGUUUUGAGUGAAAUCCAAUCUUUAGAAUUAUACAAUACACCAACCACCCCAUUUCAGAAUGAACUUCGUAGGAACCUGAAUUGUCCGAUUUCAAGGACCAAUCUAUAUCGGACAGAGUCCGAAAGUUGGGGAACAUCAUAAUAUUGUGGGAGGAGUCAUUUGGUGGGUUUUGAGUGAAAUCCAAUCUCUAGACCUAUACAAUACACCAACCUCCUCAUUUCAGAACGAACUUCGUACGAACUUGAAUUGUCCGAUUUCAAGGACCAAUUGAUAUCGGAUUGAGUCCAAAACUUGGGGAACAACAUAAUCUUGUGGGAGGAGUCAUUUGGUGGGUUUUGAGUGAAAACCAAUCUCUAGAACUAGACAAUACACCAACCACCCCAUUUCAGAAUGAACUUUGUAGGAACCUGAAUUGUCCGAUUUCAAGGACCAAUCGAUAUCAGAUUGAGUCCAAAACUUCGGGAACAUCAUAAUAUUGUGGGACGAGUCAUUUGGUAAGUUUUGAGUGAAAUAGAAUCCAAAGAACCAUACAAUACACCACCCACUCCAUUUCAGAACGAACUUCGUACGAACCUGAAUUGUCAAAUUUCGUGGACCGAUCGAUAUCGGAUUGAGUCCAAAACUUGGGAAGCAUCGAAAUCUUGUGGGAGGAGACAUUUGGUGGGUUUUGAGUGAAAUCCAAUCUCUAGAACUAUACAAUACACCAACCACCCUAUUUCAGAACGAACUUCGUACGAACCUGAAUUGUUCGAUUUCGAGGACCAAUCGAUAUCGGAUUGAGUCCAAAACUUGGGGAACAUUAUAAUAUUGUGGGAGGAGUCAUUUGGUGGGUUUUGAGUGAAAUCCAAAAUCUAGAACAAUACAAUACCCCAACCACCCCAUUUCAGAACGAACUUUGUAGGAACCUGAAUUGUCCGAUUUCAAGGACCAAUCGAUAUCGGAUUGAGUUCAAAACUUGGGGAGGAUCAUAAUAUUGUGGGAGGAGUCAUUUGGUAAGUUUUGAGUGAAAUACAAUUCCCAGAACCAUACAAUACACCACCCACCCCAUUUAAGAAGGAACUUCGUACGAACCUGAAUUGUCAAAUUUCGUGGACCGAUCGAUAUCUGAUUGAGUCCAAAACUUGGGGAGCAACAUAAUCUUGUGGGAGGAGUCAUUUGGUGGGUUUUGAGUGAAAUUCAAUCUCUAGAGCUAUACAAUACACCAACCACCCCAUUUAAGAACGAACUUCGUACGAACCUGAAUUGUCCGAUUUCAAGGACCAAUCGAUAUCGGAUUGAGUCCAGAACUUGGGGAGUAACAUAAUCUUGUGGGAGGAGUCAUUUGGUGGGUUUUGAGUGAAAUCCAAUCUCUAGAACUAUACAAUACACCAACCACCCCAUUUCAAAACGAACUUCGUACGAACCUGAAUUGUCCGAUUUCAAGGACCAAUCGAUAUCGGAUUGAGUCCAAAACUUGGGGAACAUUAUAAUAUUGUGGGAGGAGUCAUUUGGUGGAUUUUGAGUGAAAUCCAAUCUCUAGAACUAUACAAUACCCCAACCACCCCAUUUCAGAAUGAACUUCGUAGGAACCUGAAUUGUCCGAUUUUAAGGACCAAUCGAUAUCGGCUUGAGUCCAAAACUUGGGGAACAUCAUAUUAUUGUGGGAGGAAUCAUUUGGUGGGUUUUGAGUGAAAUCCAAUUUCUAGAACUAUACAAUACACCAACCACCCCAUUUCAGAACGAACUUCGUACGAACCUGAAUUGUCCGAUUUCAAGGACCAAUCGAUAUCGGAUUGAGCCCAAAACUUGGGGAACAUCAUGUUGUGAUGGGAGGUGUCAUUUGGUAGGUUUUGAGUGAAAUCCAAUCUCUAGAACUAUGCAAUACGCCAACCACCCCAUGUCAGAACGAACUUCGUACGAACCUGAAUUGUACAAUUUCAAGGACCAAUCGAUAUCGGAUUGAGUCUAAAACUUGGGGAACAUCAUAAUAUGGUGGGAGGAGCCAUUUGGUUGGUUUUGAGUGAAAUCCAAUCUAUAAAACUAUGCAAUAUACCAACCACUCCAUUUCAAAACGAACUUCGUACGAACCUGAAUUGUCCAAUUUCAUGGACCAAUCAAUAUCGGAUUGAGCCCAAAACUUGGGGAACAUCAUGUUGUGAUGGGAGGUGUCAUUUGGUAGGUUUUGAGUGAAAUCCAAUCUCUAGAACUAUGCAAUACGCCAACUACUCCAUUUCAGAACGAACUUCGUACGAACCUGAAUUGUCCAAUUUCAUGGACCAAUUGAUAUCGGAUUGAGUCCAAAACUCGGGGAACAUUAUAAUAUGGCGGGAGUAGUCAUUUGGUUGGUUUUGAGUGAAAUCCAAUCUAUAAAACUGUGCAAUAUACCAACCACCCCAUUUCAGAACGAACUUCGCAUGAACAUGAAUUUUCCAAUUUCAUGGACCAAUCGAUAUUGGAUUGAGUCCAAAACUUGGGGAACAUCAAAACAUGGUGGAAGGAGUCAUUUGGUGAGUUCUGAGUGAAAUCCAAUAUCUAAAACUUUGCAACACGACAACCACUCCAUUUCUGAACGAACUUUGUACGAACCAGAAUUGUGCAAUUUCAUGGACCAAUUGAUAUCGGAUUGAGUCCAAAACUUGGGGAACAUCAUAAUAUGAUGGGAGCAGUCAUUUCAUGAGUUUUGAGUGAAAUCUAUUCUAUAAAACUAUGCAAUACACCAAGCACUGCAUUUCAGAACGAACUUCGUACGAACCUGAAUUGUCCAAUUUCGUGGACCAAUCGAUAUCGGAUUGAGUCCGAAACUUGGGGAACAUCAUAAUAUGGUGGGAGGAGUCAUUUCGUGUGUUUUGAGUGAAAUGCAAUCUCUAAGACUAUGCAAUACAACAACCACUCCAUUUCAGAACGAACUUCGUAUGAACCUGAGUUGUCAAAUUUCAUGGACCAAUCGAUAUCUUAUUGAGUCCAAAACUUGGGGAAUAUCAUAAUAUGGUCGGAGAAGUCAUUUCGUGAGUUUUGAGUGAAAUCUAAUCUCUAAAACUAUGCAAUACACCAACCACUCCAUUUCAGAACGAACUUCGUACGAACCUGAAUUGUGCAAUUUCAUGGACCAAUUGAUAUCAGAUUGAGUCCAAAACUUUGGGAACAUCAUAAUAUGGUGGGAGGAGUCAUUUUGUGAGUUUUGAGUGAAAUCCAAUCUCUAAAACUAUGCAAUACAACAACCACUGCAUUUCAGAACGAACUUUGUACGCACCUGAAUUGUCCAAUUUCAUAGACCAAUCGAUAUCAGAUUGAGUCCAAAACUUGGAAAACAUCAUAAUAUGGUGGGAGGAGUCAUAACGUGAGUUUUGAGUGAAAUCCAAUAUCUAAAACUAUGCAAAAGACAAACCACUCCAUUUCAGAACGAACUUCGUACGAACCUGAAUUGUCCAAUUUCGUGUACCAAUUGAUAUCGGGUUGAGUCCAAUACUUGGGGAACGUCAUAAUAUGGCGGGAGGAGUCAUUUGGUGAGUUUUGAGUGAAAUGCAAUCUCUAAAACUAUGCAAUACAACAACCACUCCAUUUCAGAACGAACUUCGUACGAACCUGAAUUGUCCAAUUUCCUGGACCAAUCGAUAUCGGAUUGAGUCCAAAACUUGGGGAACAUCAUAGUAUGGUGGGAGGUGUCAUUUGGUAGGUUUUGAGUGAAAUCCAAUCUCUAGAACAAUGCAAUACGCCAACCACUCUAUUUCAGAAUGAACUUCGUACAAACAUGAAUUACCCAAUUUCAGCAACCCAUCGAUAUGGGAUUGAGUCCAAAACUUGGGGAACAUCAGAAAAUGGUGGGAGGAGUCAUUUGGAGCUCUUUGAGUGAAUUCCAAUCUCUAAAACUAUGCAAUACACCAACCACUCCAUUUCAGAACGAACUUUGUACGAACCGGCAUUGUCCAAUUUCACGGACCAAUCAAUAUCGGAUUGAGUCUGAAACAUAGGGAACAUCAUAAUAUGGUGGGAGGAGCCAUUUGGUGCUCUUUGAGUGAAAUCCAAUGUGUAGAACUAGGCAAUACACCAACCACUCCAUUUCAGAAAGAACUUCGUACCAACCGGAAUUGUUCAAUUGGACAGACCAAUCGAUAUCGGAUUGAGUCCAAAACUUGGGAAACACCAUAGUAUGAUGGGAGGAGUCAUUUGGUAGGUUUUGAGUGAAAUCCAAUAUCUAAAACUAUGCAAAACACCAACCACCCCAUUUCAAAACGAACUAUGUAUGAACCUGAAUUGUCUAAUUUCAUGGAUCAAUCGAUGUUGGAUUGCGGCAAAAACUUGGGGAACAUCAUAAUAUGAUGGGAGGACUCAUUUGCUUAGUUUUGAGUGAAAUCCAAUGUCUAAAACUAUGCAACACACCAACCACUCCAUUUUAGAACGAACUUCGUACGAACCUGAAUUGUACAAUUUUUUGGACAAAUCGAUUUCGGAUUGAACCCAAAGCUUGGGGAACAUCAUAAGAUGGUGGGAGGGCUCAUUUGGUAGGUUUUGAGAGAAAUCCAAUAUCUAGAACUAUGCAAUAAAAUAACCACUCCAUUUCUUAAUGAACUUCGUACGAACCUGAAUUGUUCAAUUUCAUUGGCCAAUCGAUAUCGGAUUGAGUCCAAAACUUGGGGAACGUCAUAAUACGGUGGGAGGAGUCAUUUGGUUUGUUUUGAGUGAUAUCGAAUCUCUCUAGAACUGGGCAAUACACCAACAACUCCAUUUCAGAAUGAAAUUCGUACGAACCUGAAUUGUCCGAUUUCAUGGACCAAUCAAUAUGGGAUUCAGUACAAAACUUGGGGAAUAUCAUAAUAUGGUGGGGGGAGCCGUUUGGUUGGUUUUGAGAGAAAUCCAAUCUCUAGAACUGUGCAAUGCACCAACCAAUACAUUUCAGAACAAAAAUCGUACGAACCUGAAUUGUCCAAUAUCUUAGCCCAAUCCAUAUCGGAUUGAGCCUAAAACUUGGGCAACAUCAUAAUAUGGUGGGAGGAGUCAUUUGGUAGGUUUUGAGAGAAAUCCAAUCUCUAAAACAAUGCAAUACACCAACCACACCAUUUCAGAACAAAGUUCGUACGAACCUAAAUGCUCCAACUUCAUGGACCGAUCGAUAUAGGAUUGAGUCCAAAACUUGGGCAAGAUCAGCAUAUGGUGGGAGGAGUCAUUUGGUGAGUUUUGUGAGAAAUCCAAUCAAUAAAAUUACGCAAUACACCAACCACUCCAAUUACAUGGGCCAAUCGAUGUUAGAUUGUGUGCAAAACUUGGGGAACAUCGUACUAUGGUGGGAGGAGUCAUUUGGAAGGUUUUGAGUGAUUUCCAAUCUCUAGAACUAUGCAAUGAACCAAAAACUCCAUUUCGGAACGACCUUCGUAUGAACCUGAAUUGUCCAAUUUUUUGGAAAAAUAGAUAACGGAUUGAGCCUAGAACUUGGGGAACAUCAUAAUAUGGUGGGAGGAGUCAUUUGGUUUGUUUUCAGUGAAAUCCAAUCUCUAGAACUGUGUAAUACACCAACCACUCCAUUUCAGAAUGAACUUCAUACGAAACUGAAUUGCCCAAUUUCAUGGACCAAUCAAUAUCAGAUUGAGUCGAAAACAAGGGAAACAUCAUAAUAUGGUGGGAGGAGUCAUUUGGUGAGUUUUGUGAGAAAUCCAAUCAAUAAAAUUACGCAAUACACCAACCACUCCAAUUACAAGGACCAAUCGAUGUUAGAUUGUGUCCAAAACUUGGGGAACAUCAUAAUAUGGUGGGAGGAGUCAUUUGGAAGGUUUUGAGUGAUUUCCAAUCUCUAGAACUAUGCAAUGAACCAAAAACUCCAUUUCGGAACGACCUUCGUACGAACCUGAAUUGUCCAAUUUUUUGGAAAAAUAGAUAACGGAUUGAGCCCAGAACUUGGGGAACAUCAUAAUAUGGUGGGAGGAGUCAUUUGGUUUGUUUUCAGUGUAAUCCAAUCUCUAAACCUAUGCAAUACACCAACCACUCCAUUUCAGAACGAACCUCGUACGAACCUGAAUUGUCCAAAUUUUUUGGAAAAAUAGAUAACGGAUUGAGCCCAGAACUUGGGGAACAUCGUAAUAUGGUGGGAGGAGUCAUUUGGUUGGUUUUCAGUGAAAUUCAAUCUCUAGAACUGUGCAAUACACCAGCCACUCCAUUUCAUAAUGAACUUCGUACGAAACUGAAUUGUUCAAUUUCAUGGACCAAUCAAUAUCGGAUUGAGUCGAAAACAAGGGAAACAUGAUAAUAUGGUGGGAGGAGUCAUUUGGUGAGUUUUGUGAGAAAUCCAAUCAAUGAAAUUACGCAAUACACCAACCACUCCAAUUACAUGGACCAAUCGAUGUUAGAUUAUUUACAAAACUUGGGGAACAUCAUAAUAUGGUGGGAGGAGUCAUUUGGAAGGUUUUGAGUGAAUUCCAUUCUCUAAAACUAUGGAAUGAACCAACCACUCCAUUUCGGAAUGACCUUCGUACGAACCUGAAUUGUCCAAUUUCAUCGACUAAUCGAUAUGGGAUUCAGUCCAAAACUUGGGGAAUAUCAUAAUAUGGUGGGAGGAGUCAUUUGGUUGGUUUUGACUGAAAUCCAAUCUCUAGAACUGUGCAAUACACCAACGAGUCCAUUUCAGAAUGAACUUCGUAUGAAACUGAAUUGUCCAAUUUCAUGGACCAAUCAAUAUCGGAUUGAGUCGAAAACAAUGGAAACAUCAUAAUAUGCUGGGAUGAGUCAUUUGGUGUGAUGUCCAAUCUCUAGAACUAUGCUAUACACAUCCAUUUCAGAACGAUCUUCGUACGAACCUGAAUUGUGCAAUUUCAUGGACCAAUGGACAUCGGAUUGAGUCCAAAACUUGGGGAACAUCAUAAUAUGGUGGGUGGAGUCAUUUGGUGACUUUGGAGUGAGAUCCAAUCUCCAGAACUAUGCUAUACAUCAACCACUCCAAUUCAGAACGAACUUCGUACGAACCUGAAUUGCCCAAUUUCGUUUACCAAUCGAUAUCGGAUUGAACCCAAUUGAGAACGAACUUCGUACGAACCUGAAUUGUCCAAUUUCGUUUACCAAUCGAUAUCGGAUUGAACCCAAAACUUGGAGAACAUCAUAAGAUGCCGGGAGGGCUCAUUUGGUUGGUUUUGAGAGAUAUCCAAUCUCUGGAGCUACGCAAUAAAAUAACCACUCCAUUUCUUAAUGAACUUUGUACGAACCUGAAUUGUUCAAUUUCAUCGACCAAUCGAUAUCCGAUUGAGUCCAAAACUUUGGGAACAUCAUAACAUGGCGGGAGGAGUCAUUUCGUGAGUUUUGAGUGAAAUCUAAUCUCUAAAACUAUGCGAUACACCAACCACUCCGUUUCAGAACGAACUUCGUACGAACCUCAAUUGUCCAAUUUCAUGGACCAAUCGAUAUCGGAUUGAAUCCAAAACUUGGGGAACAUCAUAAUAUGGUGGGAGGAGUGAUUUCGUGCUCUUUGAGUGAAAUCCAAUAUCUAAAACAAUGUAAAACAGAAACCACUCCAUUUCAGAACGAACUUCGUUUGAACCUGAAUUGUCCAAUUUCGUGGACCAAUUGAUGUCGGAUUGAGUCCAAAACUUGGGGAACAUCAUAAUAUGGUGGGAGGAGUCAUUUCAUGAGUUUUGAGUGAAAUCCAAUCUCUAAAACUAUGCAAUACACCAACCACUCCAUUUCAGAACGAACUUCGUACGAACCUGAAUUGUCCAAUUUUAGGGACCAAUCGAUAUCGGAUUGAGCCCAAAACUUGGGGAACAUCAUAAUAUGGUGGGUGGAGUCAUUUGAUUGGUUUUGAGUGAAAUCCAAUCUAUAAAACUAUGCAAUACUCCAACCACUCCAUUUCAGAACGAACUUCGUACGAACCUGAAUUGUCCAAUUUUGUGGACCAAUCGGUAUCGGAUUGAGUCCAAAACUUGGAGAACAUCAUACUGUGGUGGGAGGUGUUAGUUGGUAGGUUUUGAGUCAAAUCCAAUCUCUAGAACUGUGCAAUACGCCAACCACUCCAUUUCAGAACGAGCUUCGUAUGAACAUGAAUUCUCCAAUUUCACGAACCAAUCGAUAUCGGAUUGAGACCAAAACUUGGGGAACAUCAUAGCAAGAUGGGAGGUGUCAUUUGGUAUGUUUUGAGUGAAAUUCAAUCCCUAGAACUAUGCAAUAAGCCAACCACUCCGUUUCAGAACGAACUUCGUACGAACCUCAAUUGUCCAAUUUCAUGGACCAUUCGAUAUCGGAUUGAAUCCAAAACUUGGGGAACAUCAUAAUAUGGUGGGAGGAGUCAUUUGGUGCUCUUUCAGUGAAAUCCAAUAUCUAAAACAAUGUAAAACACAAACCACUCCAUUUCAGAACAAACUUCGUACGAACUUGAAUUGUCCAAUUUCAUGGACCAAUCGAUAUCGGAUUGAAUCCAAAACUUGGGGAACAUCAUAAUAUGGUUGAAGGAGUCAUUUGGUGAGUUUUGAGUGAAAUCCAAUCUCUAAACCUAUGCAAUACACCAACCACUCCAUUUCAGAACGAACUUUGUAUGAACCUGAAUUGUCCAAUUUCAUGGACCAAUCGUUAUGGGAUUGAUUCCAAAACUUGGGGAACAUCAUAUUAUGGUGGGAGGAGUCAUUUGGUGGGUUUUGAGUGAAAUCCAAUCUCUUGCACUAUGCAAUACACCAACCACUUCAUUUAAGAACGAACCUCUUACAAACCUAAAUUGGCCAAUUUCGUGGACCUAUCGAUAUCGGAUUGAGUCCAAAACUUGAGGAACAUCAUAAUAUGGUGGGAGGAGUCAUUUGGUGGGUUUUGAGUGAAAUCCAAUCUCUACAACUAUGCAAUACACCAACAACUCCAUUUCAUAACGAACUUCGUAGGACCUGAAUUGUCCAAUUUCAUGGACAAAUCGAUAUCGGAUUCUGUCCAAAACUUGGGGAACGUCAUAAUAUGAUUGGUGGAGUCAUUUGGUGAGUUUUGACUGAAAUCCAAUGGCUAAAUGAUAAGGUCAUCAUUUCACACAUUUGCCUGCCUUCUUUGCUUAGUAAUUUUGUUUAGCUUCUCUUUAUUUGAGUCUCUUACCUAUGUUUGUGUGUUUGUAGGUUAAGACAGUAAGGGGAUGACAUUUGAUACAAUUCAUGCAUGUUAUGGGCUGAGUGGCACAAGAGGAAUAUGAGCUUAAAGACAAUCAAUUUGAGCCACACCCCUUGUCAGUCCAGUUUCGUAGGUCAUCUUGCAGGCCUCAUUUCAGCAACUUACACAGGUCGGAUGUGUAGACAUCCUUGAUAGAAGUUGUUCCAAUGGGUGUUUGUUAUAACAUAUCCAAAUUUCAGCCCAAUUGGAUAUAUCUGGAGCCCUCAGCACAUCAAAGACUGAACCAAGUCCACAGAAAUGUCAUGUUGGCUGCCAUCACAUUUAAUGUGGCUACAUCCCUAGAGCCAUGUGCUACACAUGGGAGUCAAAUCAGCUCAGAAACUCAGAAAGAUGAAUAAAAGUUAAGCGUUGCAUAAAGAAACCAUACCAAAGCAUGUAUUUGGCAGCUGGAGCAGUUGGGAGCAGCUAAGAGAGGUGUGCUUCACCAGCCAAAGGGGAGGACGAAAUUGCACUCUAUAAAUAGAGAGCUUCAAACUCAUUCAGAGCAGACACACACAUUCACUUCAUCCAUUACUCUCAUACACACAUUCAGAUUCACCACAAAGAGAGAAGGGAGCUUGGAGCUGUCCUGAGAACUUCCUUGCUGCCAUCAUCUAGUUCUUCUCCUCUCUUUAUCCUAUCUAUGUAGUUCAACUUUUCUGUAUUGAUAGUUAUGUCAAACUAAUCCAUUUAGUUAGGGCUUAGGAUGAAGCCCUAGUCAUGAAUAUUCAAUGUUAUGGAUGAUUUUAUAGUUAAUUGAUUUCCUUGCUUUUAUUAUCAAGUUGUUAAUCUACAGUUUAUUAUGUGCUUCAUGUAUGUUUUCUUGGAGUAGCUAACUAGGAUUUUAUGCAUCUAGCACAGGUUGGGAAGGGGUUUAGAUUCACCAAUUCUACUCUUCUUUCACAAGCAACACAUGAAUGGCCUAAGAAUCAUUCAAGGGUUUAGUGGGUUUUUAGUGAAAUCGAAUAUCUAAAACUCUGCAAUAGAUCAACCACUCCAUUUUAGAAUGAACUUCGUACAAACCUGAAUUGUCCAAUUUCAUGGACCAAUCGAUAUCAGAUUGAGUCCAAAACUUGGGGAACAAGAUAAUAUAGAGGGAGGAGUCAUUUGGGGGGUUUUGAGUGAAAUCGAAUCUCUCAAACUAUGUAAUACACCAACCACUCCAUUUCGGAACGAACUUCGUAUGAACCUGAAUUGUGCAAUUUCAUGGACCAAUCGAUAUCGGAUUGAGUCUAAAACUUGGGAAACAUCUGAGUAUGGUGGGAGGAGUCAUUUGGUAGGUUUUGAGUGAAAUCCAAUCUCCAGAACUAUGCAAUACACCAACCACUUAAUUUCAGAACGAACUUUGUACGAACCCGAAUUGUCCAAUUUCAUGGACCAAUCGAUAUCGGAUUGAGUCCAAAACUUGGGGAACAGCAUAAGAUGGUAGGAGUAGUCAUUUGGUGGGUUCUGCGUGAAAUCGAAUAUCUAAAACUAUGCAGUACACCAACCACUCCAUUUCAAAACGAACUUUGUAUAAACCUGAAUUGUCCAAUUUCAUGGACCAAUCGAUAUCGGAUUGAGUCCAAAACUUGGGGAACAUCAUAAUAUGGUGGGAGGAGUCAUUUGGUGAGUUUUGAGUGAAAUCCAAUCGCUAAACUAUGCAAUACACCAACCACUCCAUUUCAUAACGAACUUCGUACGAACUGAAUUGUUCAAUUUCAUGGACCAAUCGAUACAAGAUUCAGUCCAAAGCUUGGGGAACAUGAUAAUGUGGUGGGAGGAGUCAUUUGGUGGGUUUUGAGUGAAAUCGAAUAUCUAAAACUCUGCAAUAGAUCGACCACUCCAUUUUAGAAUGAACUUCGUACAAACCUGAAUUAUCCAAUUUCAUGGACCAAUCGAUAUCGGAUUGAGUCCAAACCUCGGGGAACAUCAUAAUAUGGUGGGAGGUGUCAUUUGGUGGGUUUUGAGCGAAAUCGAAAAUCUAAAACUACGCAACACACCAACCACUCCAUUUCGGAACGAUCUUCGUACGAACCUAAAUUGUCCAAUUUCAUGGACCAAUCGAUAUCGGAUUGAGCCCAAAACUUGGGAAACAUCAUAAUAUGGUAGGGGGUUUCAUUUGGGGGGUUUUAAGUGAAAUCGAAUCACUAAAACUAUGUAAUACACAUACCACUCAAUUUCGGAACGAACUUCGUAUGAACCUCAAUUGUCCAAUUUCAUGGACCAAUCGAUAUCGGAUUGAGUCCAAAACUUGGGGAACAGCAAAAUAUGUGGGAGUAGUCAUUUGGUGAUUUUUGAGUGAAAUCGAAUAUCUAAAACUACGCAAUACACCAAUCACCCCAUUUCAAAAUGAACUUCGUACGAACUUGAAUUGUCCAAUUUCAAGGACCAAUCGAUAUCGGAUUGAGUCCAACACUUGGGGAAAAUCAUAGUAUGGUGGGAGGAGUCAUUUGGUAGGUUUUGAGUGAAAUCCAAUCUCUAGAACUAUGCAAUACACCAACCAUUCCAUUUUAGAACGAAUUUCGUACGAACUUGAAUUGUCCAAUUUGAUGACCAAUCGAUAUCGGAUAGAGCCCAAAACUUAGAGAACUUUAUAAUGUGGUGGGAGCAGUCAUUUAGUGAGUUUUGAGUAAAAUCCAAUCCCUAAAACUAUGCAGCACACCAACCACUCAUUUCGGAACGAACUUCGUACGAACAUGAAUUGUCCAAUUUCAUGGACCAAUCGAUAUUGGAUUGAGCCCAAAACUUGGGGAAGAACAUAAUAUGGUUGCAUUAGUCAUUUGGUGGGUUUUGAGUGAAAUCGAAUCUCUAAAACUAUGCAAUACACCUACCCCUCCAUUUCGGAACGAACUUCGUAAGAACCUGAAUUGUCCAAUUUCAUGGACCAAUUGAUAUCGGAUUGAGUGGGGAACAUCAUAAUAUGGUGGGAGGAGUCAUUUUGGUGCUCUUUGAGUGAAAUCCAAUAUCUACAACUGUGCAAAACAUAAACCACUCCAUUUCUGAACGAACUUUGUACGAACCUGAAUUGUCCAAUUUCAUGGGCCAAUCGAUAUCAUAUUGAGUCAAAAACGUGGGGAACAUCAUAAUAUGGUGGGAUUAGUCAUUUGGUGGAUUUUGAGUGAAAUCGAAUAUCUAAAACUAUGCAACACACCAACCACUCCACUUCAGAAUGAACUUCAUACGAACCUGAAUUGUCCAAUUUCAUGGUCCAAUCAAUAUGGGAUUGAGUCCUAAACUUGGGAAACAUCUGAGUAUGGUGGGAGGAGUCAUUUGGUAGGUUGUAAUUGAAAUCCAAUCUCUAGAACUAUGCACUACACCAACCACUCCAUUUCAGAACGAACUUCGUACGAACCUAAAUUGUCCAAUUUCAUGAACCAAUCGAUAUCGGAUUGAUCCCAAAACUUGGGGAACAUUAUAUUACGGUAAGAGGAGUCUUUUGGUGAGUUUUGAGUGAAAUUCAGUCUCUAAAACUAUGCAACAGACCAACAACUCCAUUUUGGAACAAUCUUCGUACGAACCUGAAUUCAAUUUCAUGGACCAAUCGAUAUCGGAUUGAGCCCAAAACUUGGGGAACAUCAUAAUAUGGUGGGAGGUUUAAUUUGGGGGGGUUUUGAGUGAAAUCGAAUCACUAAAACAAUGUAAUACACCUACCACUCCAUUUCGGAACGAACUUCGUACGAACCUCAAUUGUCCAAUUCCAUGGACCAAUCGAUAUCGGAUUGGGUCCAAAACUUGGGGAACAGCAAAAUAUGGUGGGAGUAGUCAUUUGGUGGUUUUGAAGUGAAAUCGAAUAUCUAAAACUACGCAAUACACCAACCACCCCAUUUCAAAAUGAACUUCGUACGAACCUGAAUUGUCCAAUUUCAAGGACCAAUCGAUAUCGGAUUGAGUCCAAAACUUGGAGAAAAUCAUAGUAUGGUGGGAUGAGUCAUUUGGUAGGUUUUGAGUGAAAUCCAAUCUCCAGAACUAUGCAAUACACCAACCAUUCCAUUUUAGAACGAACUCCGUACGAACCUGAAUUGUCCAAUUUGAUGGACCAAUCGAUAUCGGAUAGAGCCCGAAAAUUAGGAAACUUUAUAAUGUGGUGGAAGGAGUCAUUUGGUGAGUUUUGAGUGAAAUCCAAUCUCUAAAACUAUGCAACACACCAACCACCCAUUUCGGAACGAACUUCGUACGAACCUGAAUUAUCCAAUUUGAUGGACCAAUCGAUAUCGGAUUGAGCCCAAAACUUGGGGAACAACAAAAUAUGGUUGGAGGAGUCAUUUGGUGGGUUUUGAGUGAAAUCGAAUCUCUAAAACUAUGCAAUACACCUACCCCUCCAUUUCGGAACAAACUUCGUACGAACCUAAAUUGUCCAAUUUCAUGGACCAAUCGAUAUCAUAUUGAGUCAAAAACGUGGGGAACAUCAUAAUAUGGUGGGAUUAGUCAUUUGGUGGGUUUUGAGUGAAAUCGAAUAUCUAAAACUACGCAAUACACCAACCACUCCAUUUCAAAACGAACUUCGUACGAACUUGACUUGUCCAAUUUCAUGGACCAAUCGAUAUUGGAUUGAGUCAAAAACGUGGGGAACAUCAUAAUAUGGUGGGGUUUGUCAUUUGGUGGGUUUUGAGUGAAAUAGAAUAUUUAAAACUACGCAAUACACCAACCACUCAAUUUCAGAACGAACUUCGAAAGAACCUGAAUUGUCCAAUUUCAUGGACCAAUCGUUAUCAGAUUGAGCCCAAAACUUGGGGAACAUCAUAAGAUGGUGGGAGGUGUCAUUUGGUUGGUUUUGAGUGAAGUCAAAAAUCUAAAACUAUACAACACACCGACCACUACAUUUCGGAACGAACAUCGUACGAACCUGAAUUGUCUAAUUUCAUGGACCAAUUGAUAUCGGAUUGAGUCCAAAACUUGGGGAACAACAUAAUACGAUGGGAGUAGUCAUUUGGUUGGUUUUGAGUGAAAUCGAAUAUCUAAAACUACGCAAUACACCAACCACUCCAUUUGAGAACGAACUUCGUACGAACCUGAAUUGUCCAAUUUCAUGGACCAAUCGAUAUCGGAUUGAGCCCAAAACAUAGGGAACAUUAUGAUAUGGUGGGAGGACUCAUUUGGUGAGUUUUGUGUGAAAUCCAAUCUCUAAAACUAUGCAACACACCGACCCCUCCAUUUCGGAACGAACUUCGUAAAAACUUGAAUUGUCCAAUUUCAUGGACCAAUCGAUAUCGGAUUGAGUCCAAAAGUUGGGGAAUAUCAUAAUUUGGUGGGAGGAGACAUUUGGUGAUCUUUGAGUGAAAUCCGAUAUCUAAAACUAGGCAAUACACAAACCACUCCAUUUCAAAGAGAACUUCGUACGAACCUGAAUUGUCCGAUUUCAAGGACCAAUCGAUAUAGGAUUGAGUCCAAAACUUGGGGAACAUCAUAAUAUUGUGGGAGGAGUCAUUUGGUGGGUUUUGAGUGAAAUACAAUUCCUAGAACACCAACCACUCCAUUUCAGAUCGAACUUCGUACGAACUUGAAUUGUCCGAUUUCAUUGACCAAUCGAUAUCGGAUUGAGUCCAAAACUUGAGGAACAACAUAAUAUUGUGGGAGGAGGCAUUUGGCAAGUUUUGAGUGAAAUACAAUCCCUAGAACUAUACAAUACACCAACCACUCCAUUUCAGAACAAACUCCGUACGAACCUGAAUUGUCAAAUUUCGUGGACCGUUCGAUAUCGGAUCGAGUCCAGAACUUGGGGAACAUCAUAAUAUUGUGGGAGGAGUCAUUUGGUGGGUUUUGAGUGAAAUCCAACCUCUAGAACUAUACAAUCCACCAACCACCCCAUUUCAGAAUGAACUUCGUUCGAACCUGAAUUGUCCGAUUUCAAGGACCAAUCAAUAUCGGAUUGAGUCCAAAACUUGGGGAACAUCAUAAUAAUGUGGGAGGAGUCAUUUGGUGGGUUUUGAGUGAAAUACAAUCCCUAGAACACCAACCACUCCGUUUCAGAUCGAACUUCAUACGAACUUGAAUUGCCCGAUUUCAUUGACCAAUCGAUAUCGGAUUGAGUCCAAAACUUGGGGAACAACAUAAUAUUGUGGGAGGAGGCAUUUGGUGGGUUUUGAGUGAAAUACAAUCCCUAGAACUAUACAAUACACCAACCACUCCAUUUUAGAACGAACUUCGUACGAACUUGAAUUGUCAAAUUUCGUGGAUCGAUCGAUGUCGGAUUGAGUCCAAAACUUGGGGAACAUCAACAUAUUGUGGGAGGAGCCAUUUGGUAAGUUUUGAGUGAAAUCCAAUCUCUAGAACUAUACAAUACACCAACCACUCCAUUUCAGAACGAACUUCGUACGAACCUGAAUUGUCCGAUUUCAAGGACCAAUCGAUAUCGGAUUGAGUCCAAAACUUGGGGAACAUCAUAAUAUUGUGGGAGGAGUCAUUUGGUGGGUUUUGAGCGAAAUCCAACCUCUAGAACUAUACAAUACACCAACCACCCCAUUUAUGAACGAACUUCGUAGGAACCUGAAUUGUCCGAUUUCAAGGACCAAUCGGUAUCGCAUUGAGUCCAAAACUUUGGGAACAUCAUAAUAUUGUGGGAGGAGUCAUUUGGUGGGUUUUGAGUGAAAUCCAAUUUCUAGAACUAUACAACACACCAACCACUCCAUUUCGGAACGAACUUCGUACGAACCUGAAUUGUCCGAUUUCAAGCACCAAUCGAUAUCGGAUUGAGUCCAAAACUUAGAGAACAUCAUAACAUUGGGGGAGGAGUCAUUUGGUGGGUUUUGAGUGAAAUACAAUCCCCAGAACUAUACAAUACACCAACCACUCCAUUUCAGAACGAACUUCGUACGAACCUGAAUUGUCAAAUUUCGUGGACUGAUUGGUAUCGGAUUCGGUCCAAAACUUGGGGAACAUCAUAAUAGUGUGGGAGGAGUCAUUUGGAGAGUUUUGAAUGAAAUCCAAUCCCUAGAACUAUACAAUACACCAACCACCCCAUUUCAGAACAAACUUCGUACGAACCUGAAUUAUCAAAUUUCGUGGACCGAUCGAUAUCGGAUUGAGUCCAAAACUGGGGCAACAUCAUAAUAUUGUGGGAGGAGUCAUUUGGAGGGUUUUGAGUGAAAUACAGUCCCCAGAACACCAACCACUCCAUUUCAGAACGAACUUCGUACGAACUUGAAUUGCCCGAUUUCAUUGACCAAUCGAUAUUGGUACGAGUCCAAAACUUAGGGAACAACAUAAUAUUGUGGGAGGAGGCAUUUGGUGGGUUUUGAGUGAAAUACAAUCCCUAGAACUAUACAAUACACCAACCACACCAUUUCAGAACGAACUUCGUAUGAAUCUGAAUUGUCAAAUUUCGUGGAUCGAUCGAUAUAGGAUUGAGUCCAAAAAUUGGGGAACAACAUAAUAUUGUGGGAGGAGUCAUUUGGUGGGUUUUGAGUGAAAUCCAAUCUCUAGAACUAUACAAUACACCAACCACCCCAUUUCAGAACGAACUUCGUACGAACCUGAAUUGUCCGAUUUCAAGGACCAAUCGAUAUCGGAUUGAGUCCAAAACUUGGGGACCAUCAUAAUAUUGAGGGAGGAGUCAUUUGGUGGGUUUUGAGUGAAAUCCAAUCUCUAGAACUAUACAAUACACUAACCACCCCAUUUCAGAACGAACUUCGUACGAACCUGAAUUGUCCGAUUUCAAGGACCAAUCGAUAUCGGAUUGAGUCCAAAACUUGGGGAACAUCAUAAUAUUGUGGGAGGAGUCAUUUGGUGGGUUUUGAGUGAAAUCCAAUCUUUAGAACUACACAAUACACCAACCACCCCAUUUAUGAACGAACUUCGUACGAACAUGAAUUGACCGAUUUCAAGGGCCAAUCGAUAUCGGAUUGAGUCCAAAACUUGGGGAACAUCAAAAUAUUAUGGAAGGAGUCAUUUGGUGGGUUUUGAAUGAAAUCCAAUCUGUAGAACUACACAAUACACCAACCACCCCAUUUGUGAACAAACUUCAUACGAACCUGAAUUGUCCGAUUUCAAGGACCAAUCGAAAUCGGAUUGAGUCCAAAACUUGGGGAACAUCAUAAUAUUAUGGGUGGAGUCAUUUGGUGGGUUUUGAGUGAAAUCCAAUCUCUAGAACUAUACAAUACACCAACCACCCCAUUUCAGAACGAACUUCGUAUAAACCUGAAUUGUCCGAUUUCAAGGACCAAUCGAUAUUGGAUUGAGUCCAAAACUUGGGGAACAUCAUAAUGUUGUGGGAGGAGUCAUUUGGUGGGUUGUGAGUUAAAUACAAUCCCUAGAACUAUACAAUACACCAACCACUCCAUUUCAGAACGAACUACGUACGAAC